GUCGAGCCUAGGGCGGCCACCCGAAAAACCGGACACCUUCACCGGCUGGCUCGGCGUUCUUCGUGAAGG
rnacentral:sRNA from 19 species